rnacentral:rRNA from 1 species
CUACGGGGUGCAGCAGUGGGGAAUAUUGGACAAUGGAGGCAACUCUGAUCCAGCCAUGCCGCGUGAGUGAUGAAGGCCUUAGGGUUGUAAAGCUCUUUCGCCGGUGAAGAUGAUGACUGUAGCCGGUAAAGAAGCCCCGGCUAACUUCGUGCCAGCAGCCGCGGUAAUACGAAGGGGGCUAGCGUUGUUCGGAAUUACUGGGCGUAAAGCGCGCGUAGGCGGCUUGAUCAGUCAGAGGUGAAAUCCCAGGGCUCAACCCUGGAACUGCCUUUGAUACUGUCAAGCUAGAGCUCGGAAGAGGGUGGCGGAAUAUCCAGUGUAGAGGUGAAAUUCGGAGAUAUUGGAUAGAACACCAGUGGCGAAGGCGGCCACCUGGUCCGUAGCUGACGCUGAGGUGCGAAAGCGUGGGGAGCAAACAGGAUUAGAUACCCCCGUAGUC